ACAGCUCUGAUUUGACCCCUAGCCUGGGAAUCUCCUGUGCUGCAGGUGCAGCCCUAACCCUAAAAAGCAAAUGAUAAUUAAUAAUAAUAAUAAUAUGGGGAACUGUCUAUGACCUGGGUUGAGAAGACGCCCAUCAAUCAGAGACCUGGGCCCCUAGAAUAGGGCUUCAUGACCCUUCCUCUGGGUACAGUAACAAGAGGUGAUUUGAGGUUUUUCUCCCUUUGGGAAGGAAGGAAAUGUAGGUCGGGUUGCCCAUGGGGCGUCGUGUGAUGAUACAUGAAUUGUUAGAUUCUUGUGAUUUUGUGUGUGUGUGUGUAUUUGUGUGCACAGGCCCACGUGUGCCAGCUGGGCAGCCAAGGGGAGGCUGUCAGGACCUGAGUUUCUCUCCUCCCCUGCCCCCCGGCACCUGCUUAUUCCAUGUGGUACUGGCGCAGGUGACACUCACUCCUGUUCCAGCCACACCUGCCGCCGAUCCCCAGGCCAAGCCACAGAGGUGCGACUGGCCUGGUGACUGCCUGAGCGUAGUUUACAAAGACAUACGGUUCCGCAGGACGCAGAAAGCAACCACUGCCCGCCUCCACCUGCCUUCCCACGCUUCAGAGGAAAAAGGUCCUUUGGCCCUUUCCCCUGUUUCUUCUGGAUCUUACUUUCUUCUUUCUAAAUCCUGUGCUUGUGCUAAUGUGACUUGACGUGGUUGCGGUUGGGGACGUUGGCUGCUACCCUCCUGCACUGGAAGAAGAGGCGCUUCCGUGUCUCCGGCUCUGCCACCAACGCAGUUAACGCGCAAUUGUCAGGGAAUUAUUCCGCCUUUUCAUUUAGACAGUCUCAGUAUUUUUGGCUGAGCCAUGUAGCUUACUAUAAUUAGAUUUCCUUUCUUACACAAUACUUGUUCUCCCUGAACUUGUCAUCUGUCCCCCCCUUCGCUGAUCGUAAUUCUUGCCCUAAAUCGCCUGGGGAAAUGGCCCGUCAGAUAUUUCCCCUGGAGGGGGCUCAGCCCUCCUGGAGUUGAAAGAUUCCUUUCUCCUGCACUUUGCAGUGGCGUGAGAGACGCAUCUAGAGCAUCUUAGCCAGGCGUUGGUUCGUGUCAUCGUCUCCGUGGCGGUUUCCAGGCGUGAUUGAACCAGGCCGUGACCUUUCCACGAGCCCUUCUGCCACUCCUCCUGUUGCCCUCAGGUGAUCACUGCUUCAGAGUCACACCAGUGGAGGCCUCGAUCUGCCCCGAGUAGGGCCAGGCGGGCUCCCCGUGGUCUGGAGGGCUUUGGGCUGAACCCCGGCUCCUGGAGGCAGGCCUUGGAGAAACGGCUCAUCCAGGGGAGACCGGGAGCUGCAGGAAGCAGCCUGGGCCCAAGCCGACCAGCAAGUCCAGGAUGCUCCACCUGGGGUCACAACAGCCUGAGCUUCUCUUGAUUCUGGCUGCUCAAUGUCCGGCGUUGGCAGAGUAGAGAUGGCACCUUGGCAGCCAGAGACAAGUUUCUGCUGACCAGAUGUUGCCUGGGGCCUUAUAAGAGAAUGCAGAUUCUGGGGCCAGCCCCAGGAUUUGCUGACCCCGGGGCCUGGGCAUGUACCUUCCCCCUCCCAGCUCCUGCACCCCCACCCCCGUCCUUCGGCAAAGUCCCAUUAUCCAGGGCCGCAUUUUCCAGUGUCCUCCGUGAUAAGGAUUCCAUGAUGGUCUGACUAAAAAUGCAAAUUCCUGGGCCCCAUCCUGGAACCACUGGCUCAGAGUCACCAGUGGGCUGAGGCCCGGGGAGCAGGGAGUAGUGGAACCUAGCAUUCCAGGACACUUCAGAUGCCAAGGCCAAGGUUGCCUGCUGGAAACCAUCAGAGGGAAGGAACCAAGGCCCAGGCCAUGCCUUUGAACGGCUUUGCGUCUGUUAAUUGAAACAAAAAACUAGCCAAAGGCUGAGGACGCCCCCAGGGCCUUUGAGCCCAGGCAGGUCCCAUCAGAAAGUUUCCUAGCUUUUCACUCAUCUACCUGUCCCCCUCUGAGAACUUCCAAAGCUUUCUAAUUCUGCUAAGUUGAAAUCAGGAUAUAAACUCCGUCCUUAUGCUGCUGGUUUAAAGAUUCGAGGCAACGUUCUUUUCAGUAAUUAUCUCCAAAAGUACAUUUCAUUGGGCUUGAUUUUUCAAAAGCAAGGGUCACGUUUUCUGCUUUUUAAAGAAAGAAAAUUUUCCACACCUGUCGUUUCUCCCAGCUUCUGAAGUUUUCAACUUCAUUUCUAUGUAAACCCUGAGCUUCUAAGGCCCAAAAAACACAUAGCGUUUAUCUCUGUAGCCCUUGGGUGCAGAUCGGCGCCCAGCCUGUUCCAUGGAUGCGAGGGAUAUAUUUUAUUUUCCUCGGUGAAGUUAAACUAAGACUCUCCCAGUUAAACUUUACCUAUUUUGGGGGUGAGACAUGGGACAUGCGGUUGGUUAUUGGCUUAUUAAUUUGAAGAUUUAUGAGAGGCAAAUGCCAGUCUUUUCUUUAAAAAAAAAAAAAAAAGUAAAACCGAGAGACAAAACCUACAAUUGUCCG